GUAUGACUCCAUUUCAGUUAUUGGUGGUGAAUUGUUGCCCUCCUUGACAGCAUCCAGGAAAGGUCGUUACUUUUCCAAAACACAAGUAGGACUUCACAAGCCUCAGCCUUGAAGAGUGUUCCUGGGAGCUUCCAGGCCCUUCAGGCAAAUGUGAAGAGCUCUUGUCCAGUGGAGGGGGUACUGAAGGGAUCCUCACCCGGGAGAGAGGGGAGGCGCUGUUUGGGUCUACUCCAGCGCAGAGCGAGGUCAAUCUAACAUGGCCACAGGAAGACGUAAGCAUCGUCUUGACAACACAUUUCUUGGAAAACACUGAAUUAAUAGCCCCUUCCGUUGACACUCCUUCGGCACUUGGAAGCGCAUUGACUCCUCAGAAUCAACUCAUGAAGUUUCUUCUUGUUGACCUGGGCACAUGUCCAGCUUAAAAAGAGAAUCACUCAAUUGUGGUUGGAACCGGCAGGGACCUGCCCCUUUGGGGUCCUCUGUGAGCCAGGUGAGGGAGCACGUGUGGAAAACCAUGUCUUGGCAUGAGCCACGGCUGCACUGUCCCUUCCUAGGCCUGACGUCAUCACAUCCCCGCCCCCUGCUUGCCCCUCCUCCUCCUGCGGUCCACUUCAUCACGUGGCUUGUGUUCUCCUUUCUGACUGGACACCUUUGAGCUGACCUGUGGUGACUCUCUGCUGACUUGGGCUUGGGGCCCUUUGCCAUAAAUAUCCUUUGAGAAGCCCGAGUUCAUCCUAUAUCUGGCCUUUGACCCCAAAUAAAUUAGAUGUCACAUAGGUUUCUUCAGUGUCACCCAAAAACCAUUUGGAAACCAUCAUAUUGUGUAUAAAGGAAGGAAAAAUCUUUAUCAGUUUGAAAUGGAGAAGUUUCACCACUGCUUUACUCUGUAAUGAUACGGUUGUAUUCGUUUGCUUGGGCUGCCAUAACAAAGUACCACCGACUGGGUGGUUUAAACCAUAGGAAGUCAUUUUCUCACGAUCCUGGAGGCUGGAAGUCUGAGAUGAAGGCAUGAGCAGGGUUUGUUUCUUCUGAGGAUGGGACUAGAGCCUUGGAGAGGAAAAGGCACACUUCGCCCAUUUUAACUGCCCGUAAAUGCAGGCAUGUUUAGAGUUCUCUACUAGCAUCUGUUUUCUCUAUGAAGAUGGAGGCCAAGUCAUCUUCUGGAAAGGGGGUAAUGGUGGGGCUGGAGGCUUCAGAGUGGCGUCUAAAGGGAUAUCGCUGGGAAUACUGAAGGCCAGCUACUCCUGCAUUCAACUGCAUUCUCUCCUAGUGGAUGCUUCUCUGAGCUCUGGAAACCAACACCUUUUGGCUGAAAAGACCCAUGCCAUCUGGGGCCCCUGGGCAUUGGAUGCCUAGAAAGUCUCCUCCUCCUGUCCCAUUGAGAGCCCAUGUCCAUUCAAUCUCCUAGAGCCUCGGGAAGCAGACUGAAUCAGCUUGGGGUACUGUUGCCCCUGGUGAAGGCCCCUGACACCUCUCAAGGAGAGGGAGACGUUCCCUGGAACUGUCAGCGGCACUCAGGAACAAAAGCAAACUCGCUUAGCCCUGGAACCAGCCUAUACAGAAACAGACACUGGACAAUGCCAGGAAAGAGAAGGCUAUUUGAUGGAUGGGGCGGGGUCACCACCUGCCCUUCGUGCUGCCCCUUCUCCUCAAGCGCUCCAUCUACUUGCUGUCUCCCGUGAAUUCCCCACUACCGCCAGGGCUGUAUAAUUGGCUUCUGCUCUAGUAGAACAUGUCAGUUGGAGCUUCCUGGUUGGAGUAACUGUCAAUUUAGCUUUCAAUUUGGGAUUGUCCGGUCUCCUUGUCCACACUCUCACCUCUGUUGUAUGGGCUGUGGUCCAGUCUGCUAGCUGCUCACUCAACUUCCUGCUGACUUCUUGUCCUGCCCUUUGGCUCCUGGAGAGUUCCUGGCUCCUGACUGCUCUCUUGUCUGUGAGCUGCUGCCCCUCUUGAUUAGCCUUCAGCUUUCUGUCUGCCUGACUUCAACACUCCCAUGAACCAUGCAUGUAUUCCUGAUAUUACUUAAACUACUGGCCACGACACCAGGUAUUUCCUUGGGUCUCGUGUACCCUCAGCACCCCCUGAGUUGUGUGCAUCCAGCCUCUCUCCAGUUUUUUUAGACUUGGCAUUAACACAUUGUCCAGUGAUGGACAGCUCAUUGAAACCAUCAUGCACGCUUACAAUAUGCACUCAGCUUUUGAACAAACUCAGCAUUCACAGAUUCAGUUCUGAAUCCGUCUCCUUGACCUUUAUCUUGCAUCUGGUUCUGCUUACAUCUUUUGCAGCUGCUGCUUCUCCCAUUUUUGUCCUCACCCCCGUGAUUAGACUUAAUGCUUUCCAUUAUUUUCCUAGUAAUGAUCUCCAAGCAUCACUCCUGGGAUUCUAGUGCCCAACUUGGCUAAACACCCACUCUGGAUUUAACUCAUUCCUGGAACCCUGUUUGGUAGCAUGUUCAUGAAGGUCACUCCAGCCCCACAAGGAGGAAUAGAACAAAAACAUUAAUCUAAAACUACUAGGUUAAAGAAUAACAAUGUCAAUUAUAUAUAUAUAUUUUUUUAAGAUUUUAUUUUUUUCCUUUUUCUCCCCAAAGCCCCCCAGUACAUAGUUGUAUAUUCU
rnacentral:lncRNA from 1 species